rnacentral:rRNA from 1 species
UACGGGGGGAGCAAGCGUUGUUCGGAUUUACUGGGCGUAAAGGGCGCGUAGGCGGCCAGUGCAAGUCAGUUGUGAAAUCUCCGAGCUUAACUCGGAAAGGUCAACUGAUACUGCUCGGCUAGAGUGCGGAAGGGGCAACUGGAAUUCUUGGUGUAGCGGUGAAAUGCGUAGAUAUCAGGAGGAACACCGGUGGCGAAGGCGGCUCUCUGGACCACAACUGACGCUGAGGCGCGAAAGCUAGGGGAGCAAACAGG